rnacentral:rRNA from 1 species
GACGAACGCUGGCGGCGUGCCUAAUACAUGCAAGUAGAACGCUGAAGGAGGAGCUUGCUUCUCUGGAUGAGUUGCGAACGGGUGAGUAACGCGUAGGUAACCUGCCUGGUAGCGGGGGAUAACUAUUGGAAACGAUAGCUAAUACCGCAUAAGAGUAGAUGUCGCAUGACAUUUGCUUAAAAGGUGCAAUUGCAUCACUACCAGAUGGACCUGCGUUGUAUUAGCUAGUUGGUGAGGUAACGGCUCACCAAGGCAACGAUACAUAGCCGACCUGAGAGGGUGAUCGGCCACACUGGGACUGAGACACGGCCCAGACUCCUACGGGAGGCAGCAGUAGGGAAUCUUCGGCAAUGGACGGUAGUCUGACCGAGCAACGCCGCGUGAGUGAAGAAGGUUUUCGGAUCGUAAAGCUCUGUUGUAAGAGAAGAACGAGUGUGAGAGUGGAAAGUUCACACUGUGACGGUAUCUUACCAGAAAGGGACGGCUAACCACGUG